ACUCCUACGGGAGGCAGCAGUGGGGAAUAUUGCACAAUGGGGCGCAAGCCUGAUGCAGCCAUGCCGCGUGUAUGAAGAAGGCCUUCGGGUUGUAAAGUACUUUCAGCAGUGAGGAAGGUGGGUAUGUUAAUAGCAUAUUCAUUUGACGUUAGCUGCAGAAGAAGCACCGGCUAACUCCGUGCCAGCAGCCGCGGUAAUACGGAGGGUGCGAGCGUUAAUCGGAAUUACUGGGCGUAAAGCGCAUGCAGGUGGUUUGUUAAGUCAGAUGUGAAAGCCCGGGGCUCAACCUCGGAAUUGCAUUUGAAACUGGCAAACUAGAGUACUGUAGAGGGGGGUAGAAUUUCAGGUGUAGCGGUGAAAUGCGUAGAGAUCUGAAGGAAUACCGGUGGCGAAGGCGGCCCCCUGGACAGAUACUGACACUCAGAUGCGAAAGGCUGGGGGAGCAAACAGGAUUAGAUACCCCUGGUAGGCGUAG
rnacentral:rRNA from 1 species